rnacentral:lncRNA from 1 species
CAAGGACAGCGCGUAUUUACGCGUGUUCAAGAGUAGCUAAAGCUAGAUGUAAAACAAAACUCAAGUCGUAAACAAAAAGGACUCGGACUAAAUAAAGGGGGCGCAGCCCCUGGAGUCCGAAGGGGUCACGGCGCCCAACCCUAGGCGCCCCACCUGGGCUGCCCUGUUGGGCCAUCUUCUUAUUCCGAUGGGCCUUCGUUCCUUAACAGCAUGAUGAAGUUUAAUUCUCUCGCACGGGCUCGAGUGAUUGGCCCAACUGGAUGAGCAACUGUAGGUGCCUGAGGUGGAGGAGCAACUGGAGGCGCCUGAGGUGCUGCUGGUGUAGAUGUACUCGUGGUGUCCUCAUCAUCCUCCCCUUCUUGAACUGAAGUCGUCCUCGACGGCAACUCCUCAUCUUCGCCCACAUACGGUUUCAAAUCUGCAACAUUAAAACUCGUGGAAACACCAAACUCCGCAGACAGGUCAAGGAUAUAAGCAUUAUCAUUAAUCUUGGUUAGCACUUUAAAAGGACCAGCAGCACGUGGCAUCAAUUUAGAACGACGUAAGGUAGGAAAACGAUCCUUCCUCAAAUGCAACCAAACCAGAUCACCCGGUGCAAAAGUAACAUGUUUUCUCCCUUUACUACCCG